rnacentral:rRNA from 1 species
GGGAUUGCCCUAGUAACGGCGAGUGAAGCGGCAACAGCUCAAAUUUGAAAUCUGGCGCAAGCCCGAGUUGUAAUUUGUAGAGGAUGCUUCUGGCCAGCGGCCGUUCUAAGUUCCUUGGAACAGGACGUCAUAGAGGGUGAGAAUCCCGUAUGUGACCGGCGCGCAGCCUUUACGUAGCUCCUUCGACGAGUCGAGUUGUUUGGGAAUGCAGCUCUAAAUGGGAGGUAAAUUUCUUCUAAAGCUAAAUACCGGCCAGAGACCGAUAGCGCACAAGUAGAGUGAUCGAAAGAUGAAAAGCACUUUGGAAAGAGAGUUAAAAAGCACGUGAAAUUGUUGAAAGGGAAGCGCUUGCAACCAGACUUCGUAGCGAUGUUCCGCCGGUCUUCUGACCGGUCUACUCAUCGUCGCGAGGCCAACAUCGUCUGGGGCCGCUGGAUAAGACCUAAGGAAUGUAGCUUCCCUCGGGAAGUGUUAUAGCCUGUGGUGAUGCAGCGUGUCUCGGGCGAGGUCCGCGCUUCGGCAAGGAUGUUGGCGUAAUGGUUGUCAGCGGCCCGUCUUGAAACACGGACCAAGGAGUCUAACAUCUAUGCGAGUGUUCGGGUGUCAAACCCCUACGCGUAAUGAAAGUGAACGGAGGUGGGAAGCGCAAGCUGCACCAUCGACCGAUCCUGAUGUCCUCGGAUGGAUUUGAGUAAGAGCAUAGCUGUUGGGACCCGAAAGAUGGUGAACUAUGCCUGAAUAGGGUGAAGCCAGAGGAAACUCUGGUGGAGGCUCGCAGCGGUUCUGACGUGCAAAUCGAUCGUCAAAUUUGGGUAUAGGGGCG